rnacentral:lncRNA from 1 species
GCCCUCCUUGUGCCUCUUUCCAGGCACUUCUCCCUCCAAGCUGACUUCCGAAUGAAACGACAGAGAAAGGCACCUGAAAAGAUCCUGAGUCAGGAGGACAAGAGUAGGGCCAACACCCUGCAUUUCUAACGAGCUUCCACAUGAUGCUGAUGCUGCUGGUCCACAGACCACACAUGGAUUAAGCAUCUUUCCUUAGGCUGGGAACUGAUUGCUGCGCUCACCUGUGACCUCCCAGCUCCAUACAAUCCACUUGCCUCCUGCUACGCCCAUCGAGAUAGCAGACCCACUACCUGCUGUGUCCAUCAAGCACUGUGCCGACAGGGCAAUCUUGUGACUAUUGUGGGAGGGACUUUUCAGUCACAUGUGAAACACCCUGUUUGGGGUAUAUAACCACUUUGUGCACCCCACUUCUUGGGUGUCCUUUCUUCCUUCGGGAAGAGAGGCCCCAGGCCAUGGUUCC